CUUGAUAUAGCUCUGUGUCUCUUUCUGUCACUCUGCUUUUUAAGUAGAUGAAAUGAAAAAAAAAAAAAGUUUUAAAAAGGAUGUGCAAAUCUGCCUUGUCAGUGAAAGUUUCCCAAGAAAUCAAAAGGGUUGUCUUAGGUGACUGUUAAAGCAGCAUUUAAGCCAAGAGAGGCUUAGGUUGGGAGGAGAAAAAAAGACAUGUUAGGUGGCAUGAAGUAGCUUUGGAUGUCUUUUUAAGUAAAGUGAAAGCCUUUUCCAGGAUGGUUAAAGCAAUGCUCUUAUGAGAGACAUUGACUUCAAAGAGGGUUCUUCUACUAGUAAUUAUGGGCUGGUUUGGCCUCUGAGUUGCUUAUGCGACUGAAUGUAGUCUGGAUUUCUGUUGCCUUCCUUCAUUUGUUCAGUGGCAAAGGCUAGAGAGUUGGGUAGGUGUACAGCUAGCUAAUUAAAA